UAACAUUUACUUUUCUCUUGCUUCUUUAAUAGUUUGUAUCAAUUUGAAAUUAGUUUAAAUGUGUCUUCUAAAAAGUAUAAAAUUUAUAUUGAAUAAAGUCUAACUCAUCCCUUGGAAAUCGGGUUGUUAAUUGCUUUUUUAGUUAAUACAUGUAUUAAAAUAUUUAUGCCACUGUAAAUUUUCUUGUGCUUUCAUGCUAUUUAGAUGCCCAGCCUACAGAGUCUGAGAAGGAAAUAUAUAAUCAGGUGAAUGUAGUGUUAAAAGAUGCAGAAGGCAUCUUGGAGGACUUGCAGUCAUACAGAGGAGCUGGCCACGAAAUACGAGAGGCAAUCCAGCAUCCAGCCGAUGAGAAGUUGCAAGAGAAGGCAUGGGGUGCAGUCGUGCCACUAGUAGGCAAAUUAAAGAAAUUUUACGAAUUUUCUCAGAGAUUAGAAGCAGCAUUAAGAGGCCUUCUGGGAGCCUUGACAAGCACACCAUACUCCCCCACCCAGCAUCUAGAGCGAGAGCAGGCUCUGGCUAAACAGUUUGCAGAGAUUCUUCACUUCACACUCCGGUUUGAUGAACUCAAGAUGACAAAUCCUGCCAUACAAAAUGAUUUCAGCUACUAUAGAAGAACAUUGAGUCGUAUGAGAAUUAAUAACGUCCCGGCAGAAGGAGAAAAUGAAGUAAAUAAUGAAUUGGCAAAUCGGAUGUCUUUGUUUUAUGCUGAGGCCACCCCAAUGCUGAAAACCUUAAGUGACGCAACAACAAAAUUUGUAUCAGAG
rnacentral:lncRNA from 1 species